GAAAUGCGAUAAGUAAUGUGAAUUGCAGAAUUCAGUGAAUCAUCGAAUCUUUGAACGCACAUUGCGCCCUCUGGUAUUCCGGGGGGCAUGCCUGUUCGAGCGUCAUUACAACCCUCAAGCUCAGCUUGGUAUUGGGCUCCGCCGGUCCCGGCGGGCCUUAAAAUCAGUGGCGGUGCCAUUCGGCUUCAAGCGUAGUAAUUCUUCUCGCUUCGGAGACCCGGGUGUGUGCUAGCCAGCAACCCCCAAUUUUUUCAGGUUGACCUCGGAUCAGGUAGGGAUACCCGCUGAGUUUAA
rnacentral:misc_RNA from 1 species